UUGGAGGGCAAGUCUGGUGCCAGCAGCCGCGGUAAUUCCAGCUCCAAUAGCGUAUAUUAAAGUUGUUGCAGUUAAAAAGCUCGUAGUUGAAUUUCGGGAUCAGUACGCUGGUCGUGCCUUCGGUAUGCACUGGUGUCACUGGUUUCUCCCUUCUGAAGAACCGUCAUGCCAUUCAGUUGGUGUGGCGGGGAAUCAGGACUGUUACUUUGAAAAAAUUAGAGUGUUUAAAGCAGGCAUACGCUUGAAUACAUUAGCAUGGAAUAAUGAAAUAGGACAUCCGAUUCUAUUUUGUCGGUUUCUAGGAUCGAUGUAAUGAUUAAUAGGGAUAGUUGGGGGCAUUAGUAUUCAAUUGUCAGAGGUGAAAUUCUUGGAUUUAUUGAAGACUAACUACUGCGAAAGCAUUUGCCAAGGAUGUUUUCAUUAAUCAAGAACGAAAGUUAGGGGAUCGAAGACGAUCAGAUACCGUCGUAGUCUUAACCAUAAACUAUGCCGACUAGGGAUCGGAUGAUGUUAUUUUUAAUGACUCAUUCGGCGCCUUACGGGAAAC
rnacentral:rRNA from 1 species